rnacentral:rRNA from 1 species
CCCUUAGAUGUUCUGGGCUGCACGCGCGCUACACUGACAUGUCCAGCGAGCUCCCAACCUGCUCGGCAAAGAAUGGGUACCCUUUUUAACGCAUGUCGUGAUGGGGAUAGAUUAUUGCAAUUGUUGAUCUUGAACGAGGAAUUCCUAGUAAGUGCAAGUCAUUAGCUUGUGCUGAAUACGUCCCUGCCCUUUGUACACACCGCCCGUCGCUCCUACCGAUUGAGUGCUCCGGUGAAGCCUCGGGAUUGUGGUUCUUGCCGCUUUAUUGUGGCGUGACCGCGAGAACUUGUCUAAACCUUAUCAUCUAGAGGAAGGUGAAGUCGUAACA